rnacentral:rRNA from 1 species
UAACGCGAAGAACCUUACCUGGGUUUGACAUACACCGGAAGCCCCUAGAGAUAGGGGUCUCUUUGAUACUGGUGUACAGGUGGUGCAUGGCUGUCGUCAGCUCGUGUCGUGAGAUGUUGGGUUAAGUCCCGCAACGAGCGCAACCCUCGUUCCAUGUUGCCAGCGGAUUAUGCCGGGGACUCAUGGGAGACUGCCGGGGUCAACUCGGAGGAAGGUGGGGAUGACGUCAAGUCAUCAUGCCCCUUAUGUCCAGGGCUUCACGCAUGCUACAAUGGCCGGUACAAAGGGCUGCGAUCCCGUGAGGGGGAGCGAAUCCCAAAAAGCCGGUCUCAGUUCGGAUUGGGGUCUGCAACUCGACCCCAUGAAGUCGGAGUCGCUAGUAAUCGCAGAUCAGCAACGCUGCGGUGAAUACGUUCCCGGGUCUUGUACACACCGA